GGCACGGUGGCGCAGUGAGUAGCGCUGUUGCUUUAUAGUGCCUUGGUGGUGCAAGAGAAUGUGGGUUCGAUCCCUGCUCAGGCUG
rnacentral:tRNA from 1 species